UCAUAUCAUUUUGCAGUUUUACAUUCGUAUUUGUAUUUGAGUUUCAACUGUAAAUUGUUUUCAAGAAUUUUGUAAUAAAAAUGAAGUUUGUCUGUUAGUUUAUGUUUUGAUUGUUUCCAUUUCAAAAUUAUUCAGUGUUGUCCACGUACAAGUUGUUAUAUAAAAAUUGUUGUCCUCCUUACGAUGGCAGUACAGCAGAUCAUUCGAUACAUGCUGAGACAAGAAUUCACAUUUCUACCACUAUGCUAAAUAUCAAUAUGCUACGUUGAAAAUUGUACUAGACGGUACUGCUAAUAAUAAUGGUUUUGUGCAACGUGCGUGUAAUGGAUGGCAGUACAGCAGAUCAUUCAAUACACGCUGAGACAUGAAUUCACAUUUCUACCACUAUGCUAAAUAUCAAUAUGCUACGUUGCAAAUUGUACUGACAUUGUAUUGACAUUCAAAUAUUACAUUUAAGAUGAUACUUCAUACACACAAUAAAACAUGAUUUUACAUGAUGGCAGUACAGCAGAUCACUCGAGGCAUGCUGAGACAUGAAUUAACAUUUCUAUCACUUUGGAAAGUUACAACAUCUUCCGUUGAAAAUUGGAAUAGAAGAUGGCAGUAUAUCAGAUCAAUCGAGGCACGCUGAGACACGAAUUCACAUUUCUACCACCAAGGAAAGUAUCAACAUACUAUGUUGAAAAUGGACUAGAAGAUACUGAUAAUAAUAUUGGAUUUAUGCAAUGUGCGUGCAAUGGUUAUUGAAUAUAAUUGAUACUAAAUUAAUAGCUGUGAAACAAUUGAGAUUUGUUAAAUAUCUGAAUAAAAUAAUAGUAAACAACUUUA